GGGACACGUGAUAUCCUGUCUGAAUAUGGGGGGACCAUCCUCCAAGGCUAAAUACUACUGACUGACCGAUAGUGAACCAGUACCGUGAGGGAAAGGCGAAAAGAACCCCUGUGAGGGGAGUGAAAUAGAACCUGAAACCGUGUACGUACAAGCAGUAGGAGCAGGCUUUGUCCUGUGACUGCGUACCUUUUGUAUAAUGGGUCAGCGACUUAUAUUCAGUGGCAAGGUUAACCAUCUAGGGGAGCCGUAGGGAAACCGAGUCUUAACUGGGCGUUCAGUCUCUGGAUAUAGACCCGAAACCAGGUGAUCUAGCCAUGGGCAGGUUGAAGGUUGAGUAACAUCAACUGGAGGACCGAACCGACUAAUGUUGAAAAAUUAGCGGAUGACUUGUGGCUAGGGGUGAAAGGCCAAUCAAACCUGGAGAUAGCUGGUUCUCCCCGAAAGCUAUUUAGGUAGCGCCUCGGACGAAUACUACUGGGGGUAGAGCACUGUUAAGGCUAGGGGGUCAUCCCGACUUACCAACCCUUUGCA
rnacentral:rRNA from 1 species